rnacentral:rRNA from 1 species
CUGCGAGUGAAGAGGGAAGAGCUCAUCAUUGGAAUCUGGCAGUGUUGCACUGUCCGAGUUGUAGAUGAGGAGUAGUCCGUCUGGACUGCAUGGCGUCCAAGUACAAUAGGCCGUCAGUGGGACAUCAUAGAGGGUGACAAUCCCGUCCUUGACGCCAAUGUGCAAGUCUAUUACGAUGGCUAUCUCAGAGAGUCGAGCAGUUUGGGAUUUGCUGCUUAAACAUGGGAGGUAGAUUCCUUCUAAAGCUAAAUACAGGCGAGAGACCGAUAGAGAACAAGUACCGCAAGGGAAAGAUGAAAUAGCACUCUGUGAAGGGAGUCAAAAGGCGUGAAAUUGUUGCGAGAGAAGCGAUUCAAGUCAGCGUAGCUAGGCCCAUCAAGCGUCUUCGCUUUGGACUAGCUUUGCCAGCGGUCUUGUCCCUUGAAGAGACUUGACUUGUAAUAUGUCCAGCCUGGCGUGCACAGGCAGCCCCUUCUGGGGGCCAGUGGCAUGGCUGGUGGAAUGGCUUGCAAUCGACCCGUCUUGAAACACGGACCAAGGAGUCUAACAUGUAUGCGAGUAUAAGGGUGGCAAACCCGUAUGCGCAAUGAAAGUGAUUUUCGGUGAUUGAGAAUGGCCUGAUGACCAGACAAGCAAUAUAUGUCCCUCGUACGGCCAUUGCCCAAGUUCCGUGGUAGAUCCCACGAACAUGGAGUUGGAGCAUACAUGCUAGGACCCGAAAGAUGGUGAACUAUGCCUGGACAAAGCGAAGCCAAAGGAAACUCUGGUGGAGGCUUGUAGCGAUUCUGACGUGCAAAUCGAUCGUCUGAUCUGGGUAUAGGGGCGAAAGACU